rnacentral:rRNA from 1 species
AGAGUUUGAUCAUGGCUCAGGACGAACGCUGGCGGCGCGCCUAAUCCAUGCAAGUCGAGCGACGCAUUCCUUAGCCCGUAAGGGCGGGUUUGACGGAGCGGCGAACGGGUGCGUAACACGUGACCAAUCUGCCCCGAAGACCGGGAUAGCCCGGGGAAACCCGGAUUAAUACCGGAUGAUCUCAUCAUCACGCAUGUGGAGAUGAGCAAAGGUUCAGGCGCUUCGGGAUGAGGUCGCGGCCCAUCAGCUUGUUGGUGAGGUAAUGGCUCACCAAGGCAAUGACGGGUAGCUGGUCUGAGAGGACGAUCAGCCACACUGGAACUGAGAUACGGUCCAGACUCCUACGGGAGGCAGCAGGAGGGAAUCUUGCGCAAUGGGCGAAAGCCUGACGCAGCGACGCCGCGUGGGGGAUGAAUGCCUUAGGGUUGUAAACCCCUUUCACGAGGGAAGAAAAUGACGGUACCUCGAGAAGAAGCCCCGGCCAACUACGUGCCAGCAGCCGCGGUAAUACGUAGGGGGCGAGCGUUGUCCGGAUUUAUUGGGCGUAAAGGGCUCGUAGGCGGCUUGGCAAGUCGGCCGUGAAAACCCAGGGCUCAACUCUGGGACGCCGGUCGAUACUGCCAUGGCUAGGGUCCGGUAGAGGGGAAUGGAAUUCCCGGUGUAGCGGUGAAAUGCGCAGAUAUCGGGAGGAACACCAGUAGCGAAGGCGGUUCCCUGGGCCGGCACCGACGCUGAGGAGCGAAAGCGUGGGGAGCAAACAGGAUUAGAUACCCUGGUAGUCCACGCCGUAAACGUUGGGUAC